GAUGAACGCUAGCGGCAGGCCUAAUACAUGCAAGUCGAACGGGAUUAAGAGGCUUGCUUCUUAUGAGAGUGGCGCACGGGUGCGUAACACGUAUGCAACCUACCUUCAACUGGGGGAUAGCCUUCCGAAAGGGAGAUUAAUACCGCAUAACAUAAUUGAGUGGCAUCACUUGAUUAUCAAACGUCAGGGUUGAAGAUGGGCAUGCGUCCGAUUAGUUUGUUGGUGAGGUAACGGCUCACCAAGACUACGAUCGGUAGGGGAUCUGAGAGGAUGGCCCCCCACACUGGUACUGGGAACGGGACAAAACUCUAAGGGGAGGCAGCAUAAAGGAAUAUUGGUCAAUGGACGGAAGUCUGAACCACCCAUGCCGGGUGCAGGAAGACGGUCCUUUGAAUUGUAAACUGCUUUUGUAGGGAAGGAACUUCCGUACGUGUACGGGACUGACAGUACCUAAAGAAUAAGGAUCGGCUAACUCCGUGCCAGCCGCCGCCGUAA
rnacentral:rRNA from 1 species